rnacentral:rRNA from 1 species
UAACGCGUGAGGAACCUGCCUCAAAGAGGGGGACAACAGUUGGAAACGACUGCUAAUACCGCAUAAGCCCACGGCUCGGCAUCGAGCAGAGGGAAAAGGAGCAAUCCGCUUUGAGAUGGCCUCGCGUCCGAUUAGCUAGUUGGUGAGGUAACGGCCCACCAAGGCGACGAUCGGUAGCCGGACUGAGGGGUUGAACGGCCACAUUGGGACUGAGACACGGCCCAGACUCCUACGGGAGGCAGCAGUGGGGAAUAUUGCACAAUGGGGGAAACCCUGAUGCAGCGACGCCGCGUGGAGGAAGAAGGUCUUCGGAUUGUAAACUCCUGUUGUUGAGGAAGAUAAUGACGGUACUCAACAAGGAAGUGACGGCUAACUACGUGCCAGCAGCCGCGGUAAAACGUAGGUCACAAGCGUUGUCCGGAAUUACUGGGUGUAAAGGGAGCGCAGGCGGGAGAACAAGUUGGAAGUGAAAUCCAUGGGCUCAACCCAUGAACUGCUUUCAAAACUGUUUUUCUUGAGUAGUGCAGAGGUAGGCGGAAUUCCCGGUGUAGCGGUGGAAUGCGUAGAUAUCGGGAGGAACACCAGUGGCGAAGGCGGCCUACUGGGCACCAACUGACGCUGAGGCUCGAAAGUGUGGGUAGCAAACAGGAUUAGAUACCCUGGUAGUCCACACCGUAAACGAUGAUUACUAGGUGU